CACGAACGCUGGCGGCAGGCUUAACACAUGCAAGUCGAGCGCCCCGCAAGGGGAGCGGCAGACGGGUGAGUAACGCGUGGGAAUCUACCCAUCUCUACGGAACAACGCAUGGAAACGUGUGCUAAUACCGUAUACGUCCUUCGGGAGAAAGAUUUAUCGGAGAUGGAUGAGCCCGCGUUGGAUUAGCUAGUUGGUGGGGUAAAGGCCUACCAAGGCGACGAUCCAUAGCUGGUCUGAGAGGAUGAUCAGCCACACUGGGACUGAGACACGGCCCAGACUCCUACGGGAGGCAGCAGUGGGGAAUAUUGGACAAUGGGCGCAAGCCUGAUCCAGCCAUGCCGCGUGAGUGAUGAAGGCCCUAGGGUUGUAAAGCUCUCUCACCGGUGAAGAUAAUGACGGUAACCGGAGAAGAAGCCCCGGCUAACUUCGUGCCAGCCGCCGCUGUAAAAC
rnacentral:rRNA from 1 species